GAUGAACGCUGCCAGAAUGCUUAACACAUGCAAGUCGAUGGGGAAGUGGUGCUUGCCCCAUGGCAACCAUGGCGGACGGGUGAGUAACGCGUAAGGGACUUACCUGCAGGACUGGGAUAACAGGGGGAAACUCCUGACAAGACCGGAUAAUGUCAUGGAGCCGCAUGGCUUUAUGAUGAAAGGAGACGCCUGCGGAGAGCCUUGCGUCCUAUUAGCUAGUUGGUGAGGUAAUGGCUCACCAAGGCGAAGAUAGGUAGCCGGCCUGAGAGGGUGGACGGCCACAAGGGGACUGAGAUACGGCCCUUACUCCUACGGGAGGCAGCAGGGGGGAAUAGUGGACAAUGGGGGCAACCCUGAUCCAGCAAUUCUGUGUGCACGAAGAAGGUUUUCGGAUUGUAAAGUGCUUUCAGCAGGGAAGAAGUAAGUGACGGUACCUGCAGAAGAAGCGACGGCUAAAUACGUG
rnacentral:rRNA from 1 species